AACGAGGUUCUGAUUAUUGAAAGGUGCUUGCAUCUUGAUUUAAUUUUGAACGAGUGGCGGACGGGUGAGUAACACGUGGGUAACCUGCCCUUAAGUGGGGGAUAACAUUUGGAAACAGAUGCUAAUACCGCAUAAAUCCAAGAACCGCAUGGUUCUUGGCUGAAAGAUGGCGUAAGCUAUCGCUUUUGGAUGGACCCGCGGCGUAUUAGCUAGUUGGUGAGGUAACGGCUCACCAAGGCAAUGAUACGUAGCCGAACUGAGAGGUUGAUCGGCCACAUUGGGACUGA
rnacentral:rRNA from 1 species